rnacentral:rRNA from 1 species
GGGUGAGUAACGCGUGAGGAACCUGCCUUGAAGAGGGGGACAACAGUUGGAAACGACUGCUAAUACCGCAUGACGCAUAGAGGUCGCAUGAUCUUUAUGCCAAAGAUUUAUCGCUUCAAGAUGGCCUCGCGUCUGAUUAGCUGGUUGGCGGGGUAACGGCCCACCAAGGCGACGAUCAGUAGCCGGACUGAGAGGUUGAACGGCCACAUUGGGACUGAGAUACGGCCCAGACUCCUACGGGAGGCAGCAGUGGGGAAUAUUGGGCAAUGGGCGCAAGCCUGACCCAGCAACGCCGCGUGAAGGAAGAAGGCUUUCGGGUUGUAAACUUCUUUUAAGAGGGAAGAGCAGAAGACGGUACCUCUAGAAUAAGCCACGGCUAACUACGUGCCAGCAGCCGCGGUAAUACGUAGGUGGCAAGCGUUGUCCGGAUUUACUGGGUGUAAAGGGCGUGCAGCCGGGUCUGCAAGUCAGAUGUGAAAUCCAUGGGCUCAACCCAUGAACUGCAUUUGAAACUGUGGAUCUUGAGUGUCGGAGGGGCAAUCGGAAUUCCUAGUGUAGCGGUGAAAUGCGUAGAUAUUAGGAGGAACACCAGUGGCGAAGGCGGAUUGCUGGACGAUAACUGACGGUGAGGCGCGAAAGUGUGGGGAGCAAACAGGAUUAGAUACCCUGGUAGUCCACACUGUAAACGAUGAAUACUAGGUGUGCGGGGACU